rnacentral:rRNA from 1 species
UACGAAGGGGGCAAGCGUUGUUCGGAAUUACUGGGCGUAAAGGGCGCGCAGGCGGCCGAUCAAGUCAGAUGUGAAAGCCCCGGGCUCAACCUGGGAAUAGCAUUUGGGACUGGUCGGCUAGAGUUCGGGAGAGGAGAGUGGAAUUCCCAGUGUAGAGGUGAAAUUCGUAGAUAUUGGGAAGAACACCGGUGGCGAAGGCGGCUCUCUGGACCGACACUGACGCUGAGGCGCGAAAAGCGUGGGGAGCAAACAGG